CAGCAUGCCUCUCAGAUGGGGCUGCGUAACCUCCGACGUGUAUACACGAGCCGGCGCGCCAACCAUUCCGGAACCAAAUCCCGUCAGAACACGACCCGCGUAAAUCAUUUCGACACUGGUCGCACAGGAAAUCACGAUCCAGCCUAUGAUGAGGGGAAUUUCCGUCAGCAGCAGAGCCUUUUUGCGACCGAAAUUAUCCAUCAUGUAGCCGCUGAGCAGGCAGCCAAUCGGGGUUCCAAUAGCCGAUAAGGACGCUGGAAUGGAGCAGAGAAAUAAUAAUUUGACUGAUUUCGUCGGCAAUGUCAGCGUAGUGCUAGAGGGGCAAACUAAAUAGGACUAAGUAUUUUAAUUAAUUACUCAAGCGCCUGUAAGUGUUGCUUAUCUGCACAUAUGUAAUAUACAAGAUAUGGAAUAAGAUGCUGCUUGUUGAAAUAUGAGGCAGCAUUUGAUGACCGAGAUGGCUCUCGUUGCUGCUACGGGCGACGGUGACAGAGCUUUUUUUGCACCUGCUGCAAUGACUGAACAACGAAUUGAGUGGUUCUUGGAUAUGAUGAAUAUGAUGAAGGAAAGAUCUUUUUUCGAAGUACUGCGUCCUCUGACAACGGUUCACAUUGCGGUAGCAAAAUCGGGCUAGGUGCUAAAGAUUAAGUUGGUCCUAACGAUCCAAGUGAACGUGCUCAUCAAUGGAGAGAAGUAUCUGUCCGCCAUGAAGGAGGUGCUGUAUGUACCUGAUCUGCAGUGUUAUUUAUUUUCGGUACGUCGGUCAUCAGUCUCCGAAAUGCUACUGGGUCAACAGAAGCGAAUGUUAUGGUGUCAAAACAGGACAUUUUCGAGCUAUGACAUCGAGAGGCGAACAUGAGAAACCUCUGGAAACACGGAAUGGUGUACACAACAGCGAAGAUCCCUGACUGACCUGAUAUUGCAUAUGUGAGGUAUGCCUGGCUUGUAAAAUAACAAAGCAACGUUCGACGUGAUGAAAGAGAGACGUUCAUCCCGGCCAUUGGAAUUGGUCCAUUCCAUUGUGGGAUCUGAAGCGUUAUCACGCCACCUUUAUCGAUGACUAUAGACACUUCACAGUACUAUACUUCCAAGAGUCGAAGAAUUAAGUCAAGGAAAAGUUCAACCAGCCUCCUUUGAGGCGAAAUUUGCCAGGCUCAGGUUCGAAAAUGACGGGGAGUGUAGGUACGAGCAAAUCGUUCCGGAUAUUUUGCCGCAUUGAAGGAAUGCGAUUGGAAGCAACUGUGCUUACAACCCGCAGCAGAACGGAAAUUUGUGGACGAGUUCCGUUUAAUGUUUGAGGAUGCUAGUCUCCCCAAAAUGUUGUGGGGCGAUGCGGUGGUUACAGCUGCAUAUUUUCUAAAUUGAAGUCCGACAUUUUCCUUCGAAGAAAAUGAUAAGUUUUAUGAUUUUAUUACUGGAUUUGGAGCCACUUCUACAGUUGAAUGUUUUGUAGGUUCCAGUGAGACUGACAGAUGACAAGGUGAUCGUGUAUGCAUUGAACGCGGAAGCAUUUGUAAAAAUCUUCCAUCCACAAUCGAUGGAUUGAUGAAGAGGACUGGCCUCACUAAAAGGAUGCGAUUGGCAGGGAACUGGAGUCGCUGCACAAAAACCUGGGAGCAUGUUACGAAACCAACAGGGAACCUCGUAGACUGGACGGGUCUUCAAAAUAAAGCGCGAUGAAAUUUUCAUGCAAGAAACACGUUGUAGCAAGUUUUUUUACUUUUUUACCUCGCGUGGGAUCCGAUUCCGGCACUGCAGCAGUAACUGGAGGAAAUCGACAAAAUUACCGAAUAUCCACUCCACUGUGCUCAUUUUUUUCCAUUCCUGGGAAAUAUUUGAUUUGUGGUGAUAUCGUCAGUUGAAUUCAAUACUGGCACAGCUCAAAAUGCA